GGAGAGAUGGCCGAGUGGUCUAAGGCGCACGAUUGCUAAUCGUGUGUACGGUUAACCCCGUACCGAGGGUUCAAAUCCCUCUCUCUCCGCCA
rnacentral:tRNA from 1 species